UACGAAGGGGGCUAGCGUUGCUCGGAAUCACUGGGCGUAAAGCGCACGUAGGCGGGUUGUUAAGUCGGGGGUGAAAUCCUGGAGCUCAACUCCAGAACUGCCUUCGAUACUGGCGACCUUGAGUCCGGGAGAGGUGAGUGGAACUCCGAGUGUAGAGGUGAAAUUCGUAGAUAUUCGGAAGAACACCAGUGGCGAAGGCGGCUCACUGGCCCGGUAUUGACGCUGAGGCGCGAAAGCUAGGGGGAGCAAACGGG
rnacentral:rRNA from 1 species